GCGAUAACUAACGUAAACCCUAACUAGUUCCCAGAUUUGGAGCUGGGAAGUUGUUUAGAACUGUCAACUUUGGCUAAAAAAGGCAGCGACCUGCUCUGGGAUUCGUCGGUAAAGGAAAGAGAACCUUUGUGACCAAGAGGGUUUUAGGCGUUUGACCAAAGCAAUGCAUCCUCUUAUAAAGAAAGACUCUUCUUCAAAUACAAAUUCCCACAUCAACCUUUUCUGAUGUUUCCUCGUGCUUAGAUCCAAGUUAUGCUUCCUCGGUGGAAAUAACCACAUGUCCAUAAAAAAAUCCAUUACUG